GUCUCUUUGAUUAUUUUUAAUAAGGAGUUGGGCCUGCUCGGUGAUUAAAUAUUUAACAGCUGCGGUAUUAUAACUGUACUAAGGUAGCAUAAUAAUUUGCUCUAUAAAUUGGGGCUAGAAUGAAUGGUUUGACGAAAAUUAGACUGUCUCUAUUUUAUUUAUUAGAAAUUAAUUUUUAUAGUGAAAAAGCUUUAACUAUUUAAAGGGACGAAAAGACCCUAUUGAGCUUGUAUUAUUUUUAAUAAAUUAUAUACAUAAUUUAUUUGGUUAAUUUUGGUUGGGGUGAUCAAGGAAUAAAAAUUAGAUAUAUAAAGUAACUUCCUUAAUAUAUUUAUUUGGUAGAUUAAUAAACCAAGUUUUUUGCUUAUAAGAUAAGUUACCAUAGGGAUAACAGCGUAAUUUUUUUUGAGAGUUCAUAUUGAAAAAGAAGAUUGCGACCUCGAUGUUGGAUUAAAAUAACCGUAGGGUGUAGAGGCUUUAUUGGGUAAAUCUGUUCGAUUUUUAAAAUUUUAC
rnacentral:rRNA from 1 species